rnacentral:piRNA from 1 species
UACAAAACAUAAUUUUCUACCUACACUAAA